AGCAGCCGCGGUAAUUCCAGCUCCAAUAGCGUAUAUUAAAGUUGCUGCAGUUAAAAAGCUCGUAGUUGAAUUUCGGGACCAUCAUGUCGGUCGUGCCUCGGUACGUACUGGCAUUGUUGGUUUCUCCCUUCCGACGAACCAUGAUGUCAUUUAUUUGGUGUUGUAGGAAAUCAGGACUGUUACUUUGAAAAAUUAGAGUGUUUAAAGCAGGCUCACGCUUGAAUACAUUAGCAUGGAAUAAUGAAAUAGGACGUUUGAUUCUAUUUUGUUGGUUUCUAGGAUCGACGUAAUGAUUAAUAGGGAUAGUUGGGGGCAUUAGUAUUCAAUUGUCAGAGGUGAAAAUUCUUGGAUUUUAUUGAAGACUAACUACUGCGAAAGCAUUUGCCAAGGAUGUUUUCAUUAAUCAAGAACGAAAGUUAGGGGAUCGAAGACGAUCAGAUACCGUCGUAGUCUUAACAUAAACUAUGCCGACUAGGAUCGGAUGAUGUUAAUUUUUACGACUCAUUCGGCGCCUUAAC
rnacentral:rRNA from 1 species